rnacentral:lncRNA from 1 species
GAAAAGGUUCAAGUUUGGGGUUGUGUGGGGGAAAAUUGAAAAAGCAAAUGAAAAGCAUUAAGCUCGAAUGUCGAAAAAAGAAAAAAAAUCAUGAGAAAAAGAAAAGAAAAGAAGAAAAGCAUGAAGAUGAGCUCAAUGAAAAAGAAAAAGGGAAAAAGUUGGGAAUAAGUGAGAUUGGUGAGGAAGAGAGUUGUGCUUAAUUUGUUAAAUAUUAUGAAAGCUCUUUUAACUCAAGGAUUUUGCUUUCUGGAAAAACCAACUUUUCUUGUUAGCCCAACCUCAUUACAAGCCUUGGAAAAGUCCUUUUGAUGACAUUUGCAUGUAAAGAUGUUGAUUGUUUGAGAUGAAUGGCAAUUUUGUUUCAUG